GCCAGCUCUCAGUCAGCUGUCCAGAUAAUCUGUGUCUGGCUCAGUGUUACAGUGCUGGUAGAUGAAGCUCCUGGUUUUUUUUGCUUCAGUGCAGCAGGUUCUGUUUUAGAAUCCGCUGCUGCUGUGCUGCUACAGGACUUGGCCCAGUGAGAGUGGACUGUCCUGAUUCUGACCGCAGGCCAGGCCUAGUACAGGGUCACACAAA
ensembl:snoRNA SNORA74 Small nucleolar RNA SNORA74